rnacentral:rRNA from 1 species
CAGAAGAGGAGAGUGGAAUUCCACGUGUAGCGGUGAAAUGCGUAGAGAUGUGGAGGAAACACCAGUGGCGAAGGCGACUCUCUGGUCUGUAACUGACGCUGAGGCGCGAAAGCGUGGGGAGCGAACAGGAUUAGAUACCCUGGUAGUCCACGCCGUAAACGAUGAGUGCUAAGUGUUAGAGGGUUUCCGCCCUUUAGUGCUGCAGCAAACGCAUUAAGCACUCCGCCUGGGGAGUACGGUCGCAAGACUGAAACUCAAAGGAAUUGACGGGGGCCCGCACAAGCGGUGGAGCAUGUGGUUUAAUUGGAAGCAACGCGAAGAACCUUACCAGGUCUUGACAUCUUUCGCUACUUCUAGAGAUAGAAGGUUCCCCUUCGGGGGACGAAGUGACAGGUGGUGCAUGGUUGUCGUCAGCUCGUGUCGUGAGAUGUUGGGUUAAGUCCCGCAACGAGCGCAACCCUUGAUUUUAGUUGCCAGCAUUCAGUUGGGCACUUUAAGGUGACUGCCGGUGACAAACCGGAGGAAGGUGGGGAUGACGUCAAAUCAUCAUGCCCCUUAUGACCUGGGCUACACACGUGCUACAAUGGAUGGUACAAAGGGCUGCAAGACUGGGAAGUCAAGCCAAUCCCAUAAAACCAUUCUCAGUUCGGAUUGCAGGCUGCAACUCGCCUGCAUGAAGCCGGAAUCGUUAGUAAUCGCGGAUCAGCAUGCCGCGGUGAAUACGUUCCCGGGCCUUGUACACACCGCCCGUCACACCACGAGAGUUUGUAACACCCGAAGUCGGUGGGGUAACCGUAAGGAGCCAGCC